GACGAACGCUGGCGGCGUGCUUAACACAUGCAAGUCGAACGGAAAGGCCCUGCUUUUGUGCGGUGCUCGAGUGGCGAACGGGUGAGUAACACGUGAGUAACCUGCCCUUGACUUUGGGAUAACUUCAGGAAACUGGGGCUAAUCCCGGAUCGGAGCUCCUGCUCCAUUGUGGGGGUUGGAAAGUUUAGGCGGUUGGGGAUGGACGCGCGGCUUAUGAGCUUGUUGGUGGGGUAGUGGCUUACCAAGGCUUUGACGGGUAGCCGGCCUGAGAGGGUGACCGGCCACAUUGGGACUGAGAUACGGCCCAGACGCCUACGGGAGGCAGCAGUGGGGAAUAUUGCACAAUGGGCGGAAGCCUGAGGCAGCAACGCCGCGUGCGGGAUGACGGCCUUCGGGUUGUAAACCGCUUUCGCCUGUGACGAAGCGUGAGUGACGGUAAUGGGUAAAGAAGCACCGGCUAACUACGUG
rnacentral:rRNA from 1 species